GACCUGAGCUCAGACGUGGUUACCCGCUGAACUUAAGCAUAU
rnacentral:rRNA from 1 species